AUUGAACGCUGGCGGCAUGCCUUACACAUGCAAGUCGAACGGUAACGGGCCUUCGGGUGCCGCCGAGUGGCGAACGGGUGAGUAAUACAUCGGAACGUGCCCGAUCGUGGGGGAUAACGAGGCGAAAGCUUUGCUAAUACCGCAAACGAUCUACGGAUGAAAGCAGGGGACCGCAAGGCCUUGCGCGGACGGAGCGGCCGAUGGCAGAUUAGGUAGUUGGUGGGAUAAAAGCUUACCAAGCCGACGAUCUGUAGCUGGUCUGAGAGGAUGAUCAGCCACACUGGGACUGAGACACGGCCCAGACUCCUACGGGAGGCAGCGGUGGGGAAUUUUGGACAAUGGGCGCAAGCCUGAUCCAGCCAUGCCGCGUGCAGGAUGAAGGCCUUCGGGUUGUAAACUGCUUUUGUACGGAACGAAAAGCCUUCUUUUAAUACAGGAGGGUCAUGACGGUACCGUAAGAAUAAGCACCGGCUAACUACGUG
rnacentral:rRNA from 1 species